rnacentral:lncRNA from 10 species
CUGGAACACAGUAGAGCUUCUGAACCUGUAGCUGGAGAUGAGUAUCACCAGCCAACAUCCUUGGCAGAGCUGUGAGCCAACAGCCAGCCCCAGCCUGCCAGCCGUGUGAGCAAGCAGUCUUGGAAGGUGAUUCUACAGCCCCAGCUGAAACACUCCAACUGAUGCCAUGUGAGCCGAGAAGAGCAGCCAAACUGAGCCCUUCUCAAAUCCCUGAUCCUCCAAAUGUAGGCAAAAUAAAUUGCU